GUUCAUUAUUAAGCAUUCAUCUAUCUUCACCUUCUGAGUUUGAAGCAGAGUGAAACAAAGCUGAAUAAAAGCAUUUGAGGUGAGCUGGAUGUGUUAUGUCGAUAGCAAGAUACAGAAGACAGCUGCUGGAGGUGAUCACCAUAAAAGCACCUCUGGGAAGGAUUUGAAGAUGUGUUUUCAAGGGUGAUGUUCCACAUAGCUGAGACACCAGCAGCCAUGGUGCACAAAUGGAACUGCAUGACUGAAUGAUGAAACCAAGUACAUGGGAAUCCAGGCG